UACAGAGGUCCCAAGCGUUGUUCGGAUUCACUGGGCGUAAAGGGUGCGUAGGCGGCGCGGUAAGUCGGGUGUGAAAUCUCGGAGCUUAACUCCGAAACUGCAUUCGAUACUGCCGUGCUUGAGGACUGGAGAGGAGACUGGAAUUUACGGUGUAGCGGUGAAAUGCGUAGAUAUCGUAAGGAAGACCAGUGGCGAAGGCGGGUCUCUGGACAGUUCCUGACGCUGAGGCACGAAGGUCAGGGGAGCAAACGGG
rnacentral:rRNA from 1 species